CAGCAGCCACGGGAAUACGUAGGUGGCAAGCGCUGUCCGGAAUUAUUGGGCGUAAAGGGCUCGCAGGCGGUUUCUUAAGUCUGAUGUGAAAGCCCCCGGCUCAACCGGGGAGGGUCAUUGGAAACUGGGAAACUUGAGCGCAGAAGAGGAGAGUGGAAUUCCACGUGUAGCGGUGAAAUGCGUAGAGAUGUGGAGGAACACCAGUGGCGAAGGCAACUCUCUGGUCUGUAACUGACGCUGAGGAGCGAAAGCGUGGGGAGCGAACAGGAUUAGAUACCCCCGUAGUCCCUGUCUCUUAUAC
rnacentral:rRNA from 1 species